rnacentral:rRNA from 1 species
UGUAUAGCAAUUGCUAUUUGCACUAAAAGUUUUUAGUGUAAAAUCGACUUUGUCGAAUAAAAUUCUGGAUAGAAUUAUGAUAAUGACAUUACCUAUCCAUAAGUCUUGACCAAAUUACGUGCCAGCAGUCGCGGUAAUACGUAGAAGACAAGUGUUAUUCAUCUUUAAUAGGUUUAAAGGGUACUUAGACGGUAAAUAAAGCCUCCAAAAGGGACUAGUUUGCUAGAGUUUUAUGUGAAGGAGUUUUAAAGUACUACUGGUGUAGAGAUGAAAUUCAGUUAUACCUUACAUGGCACAGGUUAAGGCGAAAGCAUCUUCUUAUGUAAAAACUGACGUUGAGGGACGAAGGCUUUGUGUCUCGAACAGGAUUAGAUACCCUAGUAGUCUAAGCAGAAAAUGAUGAAUGUCAUAGAUUAGAUUUAAUUUGAUCUAUAAAUGAAAGUGUAAGCAUUCCACCUCAAGAGUAAUUUGGCAACAUUGGAACUGAAAUCAUUAGGCCGUUUCUGAGAACAGUAGUGAAGUAUGUUGUUUAAUUUGAUAAUCCGCAAAAAACCUUACCACAAUUUGAAUAGAUAUAUUUUAUCAUACAAGCGUUGCACGGCUGUCUUCAGUUAAUGUCGUGAGACUUUGGUUAGUUCCAUUAAUUUAACGGUAAACCCUUACUUCAUUAUUAUAUCAAUGUAGCUCACCGCUAUAUUGGAU